GCCCCUGUGGCGGAACCGGUAGACGCGGCGGACUCAAAAUCCGCUGCCCUUGCGGGCGUGGGAGUUCAAGUCUCCCCGGGGGCACCA
rnacentral:tRNA from 1 species